rnacentral:lncRNA from 1 species
AGCGAUUGAAGCCAUUUUAUGAGAAUUUUCAAGCCCACAAGGUUGAGGAAAUUCAUUUGGAACCACCAUAGAACCAAUAACGGCGUCAAGCUAACGACGUUAAAAAAGCGCUUGUUGGGAGGCAACCUAAUUUUUAUUUUUAUUUAUUUAUUAUUAUUUAUUAUUUAUUAUUAUUAUUUUUCUUUACUUUAUUUUCUUUAUUAUUUAUUACUUAUUUGGAUAUUAAUCAAUUUUUCUUCUUUUGCUUAAAAAAAUGAAGCAAACCGUUAAGCAACACUUAAAGCGCAUUGAGGCCUG